GAUGAACGCUGACAGAAUGCUUAACACAUGCAAGUCUUUGGCAAAGCUGUGCUUGCACAGCCAAGCCAAGGCGGACGGGUGAGUAACGCGUAAAGAACUUGCCCCGCAGACAGGGAUAACAGACGGAAACGACUGAUAAAACCUGAUAUAAUUGCCGGUACGCAUGUGCCCGGCAAUGAAAAGAGAUGCUGCGGGAGAGCUUUGCGUCCUAUUAGCUGGUUGGCGGGGUAACGGCCCACCAAGGCGAUGAUAGGUAGCCGGCCUGAGAGGGUGAACGGCCACAAGGGGACUGAGAUACGGCCCUUACUCCUACGGGAGGCAGCAGUGGGGAAUAUUGGACAAUGGGGGCAACCCUGAUCCAGCAAUUCUGUGUGCACGAAGAAGGUUUUCGGAUUGUAAAGUGCUUUCAGCAGGGAAGAAGAGAAUGACGGUACCUGUAGAAGAAGCGACGGCUAAAUACGUGCCAGCAGCCGCGGUAAUACGUAUGUCGCAGGCGUUAUCCGGAAUUAUUGGGCAUAAAGGGCAUCUAGGCGGCCCUAUAAGUCUAGGGUGAAAACCUGCGGCUCAACCGCAGGCCUGCCCCGGAAACUAUAGGGCUGGAGUACUGGAGAGGUGGACGGAACUACACGAGUAGAGGUGAAAUUCGUAGAUAUGUGUAGGAAUGCCGAUGAUGAAGAUAGUUCACUGGGACGGUAACUGACGCUGAAGUGCGAAAGCUGGGGGAGCAACAGG
rnacentral:rRNA from 1 species